rnacentral:piRNA from 1 species
UCCCNGUCUAGCAUUAGAACCACUUCUAGGA